rnacentral:rRNA from 1 species
GAUGAACGCUGGCGGCGUGCCUAAUACAUGCAAGUCGAGCGAACAGGCGAGGAGCUUGCUCCUCUGACGUUAGCGGCGGACGGGUGAGUAACACGUGGAUAACCUACCUAUAAGACUGGGAUAACUUCGGGAAACCGGAGCUAAUACCGGAUAAUAUAUUGAACCGCAUGGUUCAAUAGUGAAAGACGGUUUUGCUGUCACUUAUAGAUGGAUCCGCGCCGCAUUAGCUAGUUGGUAAGGUAACGGCUUACCAAGGCAACGAUGCGUAGCCGACCUGAGAGGGUGAUCGGCCACACUGGAACUGAGACACGGUCCAGACUCCUACGGGAGGCAGCAGUAGGGAAUCUUCCGCAAUGGGCGAAGGCCUGACGGAGCAACGCCGCGUGAGUGAUGAAGGUCUUCGGAUCGUAAAACUCUGUUAUUAGGGAAGAACAAAUGUGUAAGUAACUGUGCACGUCUUGACGGUACCUAAUCAGAAAGCCACGGCUAACUACGUG